rnacentral:rRNA from 1 species
UACGUAGGGUCCGAGCGUUGUCCGGAAUUAUUGGGCGUAAAGGGCUCGUAGGCGGUUUGUCGCGUCGGGAGUGAAAACACGGGGCUUAACCCCGUGCCUGCUUCCGAUACGGGCAGACUAGAGGUAUGCAGGGGAGAACGGAAUUCCCGGUGUAGCGGUGAAAUGCGUAGAGCUCGGGAAGAACAUCGGUGGCGAAAGCGCUCUGCUGGACUGCAACUGACACUCAGGGACGAAAGCUAGGGGAGCGAAUGGG